rnacentral:rRNA from 1 species
AGAGUUUGAUCAUGGCUCAGAUUGAACGCUGGCGGCAUGCUUUACACAUGCAAGUCGAGCGCAGCGCGGGGGCAACCCUGGCGGCGAGCGGCGAACGGGUGAGUAAUACAUCGGAACGUGUCCCGUAGUGGGGGGAUAGCUCGGCGAAAGCCGGAUUAAUACCGCAUAUGCUCUACGGAGGAAAGUGGGGGAUCCGCAAGGACCUCACGCUAUGGGAGCGGCCGAUGUCCGAUUAGCUUGUUGGUGAGGUAAAGGCUUACCAAGGCGACGAUCGGUAGCUGGUCUGAGAGGAUGAUCAGCCACACUGGGACUGAGACACGGCCCAGACUCCUACGGGAGGCAGCAGUGGGGAAUUUUGGACAAUGGGGGAAACCCUGAUCCAGCCAUGCCGCGUGCGGGAAGAAGGCCUUCGGGUUGUAAACCGCUUUUGUCCGGGAAGAAAUGACAUCCCCUAAUACGGGGUGUUCUUGACGGUACUGGAAGAAUAAGCACCGGCUAACUACGUGCCAGCAGCCGCGGUAAUACGUAGGGUGCGAGCGUUAAUCGGAAUUACUGGGCGUAAAGCGUGCGCAGGCGGUUCGUCAAGUCUGAUGUGAAAGCCCCGGGCUCAACCUGGGAAUGGCAUUGGAAACUAGCGAGCUUGAGUGUGGCAGAGGGGGGUGGAAUUCCCGUGUAGCAGUGAAAUGCGUAGAGAUGUGGAGGAACACCGAUGGCGAAGGCAGCCCCCUGGGCUAACACUGACGCUCAUGCACGAAAGCGUGGGGAGCAAACAGGAUUAGAUACCCUAGUAGUCC